CACGUAGGGUGCGAGCGUUGUCCGGAAUUAUUGGGCGUAAAGAGCUCGUAGGCGGUGUGUCGCGUCGGCCGUGAAAACCUGCAGCUUAACUGUGGGCUUGCGGUCGAUACGGGCAUCACUGGAGUUCGGCAGGGGAGACUGGAAUUCCUGGUGUAGCGGUGAAAUGCGCAGAUAUCAGGAGGAACACCCGGUGGGCGAAGGCGGGGUCUCUGGGCCCGAUACUGACGCUGGAGGAGCGAAAGCAUGGGGAGCGAACAGG
rnacentral:rRNA from 1 species